rnacentral:rRNA from 1 species
AUUGAACGCUGGCGGCAGGCUUAACACAUGCAAGUCGAGCGGAGAUGAGGUGCUUGCACCUUAUCUUAGCGGCGGACGGGUGAGUAAUGCUUAGGAAUCUGCCUAUUAGUGGGGGACAACAUUCCGAAAGGAAUGCUAAUACCGCAUACGUCCUACGGGAGAAAGCAGGGGAUCUUCGGACCUUGCGCUAAUAGAUGAGCCUAAGUCGGAUUAGCUAGUUGGUGGGGUAAAGGCCUACCAAGGCGACGAUCUGUAGCGGGUCUGAGAGGAUGAUCCGCCACACUGGGACUGAGGCACGGCCCAGACUCCUACGGGAGGCAGCAGUGGGGAAUAUUGGACAAUGGGGGGAACCCUGAUCCAGCCAUGCCGCGUGUGUGAAGGAGGCCUUAUGGUUGUAAAGCACUUUAAGCGAGGAGGAGGCUACUGAGACUAAUACUCUUGGAUAGUGGACGUUACUCGCAGAAUAAGCACCGGCUAACUCUGUGGCAGCAGCCGCAGUAACAC